rnacentral:rRNA from 1 species
AGUGGCGGACGGGUGAGUAACGCGUGAGAAUCUGCCUUGGGGUCGGGGACAACCACUGGAAACGGUGGCUAAUACCGGAUAAGCCGAUUGGUGAAAGAUUUAUUGCCCGAAGAGGAGCUCGCGUCUGAUUAGCUAGUUGGUGAGGUAAGAGCUCACCAAGGCAGCGAUCAGUAGCUGGUCUGAGAGGACGAUCAGCCACACUGGGACUGAGACACGGCCCAGACUCCUACGGGAGGCAGCAGUGGGGAAUUUUCCGCAAUGGGCGAAAGCCUGACGGAGCAAGACCGCGUGAGGGAGGAAGGCUCUUGGGUUGUAAACCUCUUUUCUCAGGGAAGAAGCUCUGACGGUACCUGAGGAAUCAGCCUCGGCUAACUCCGUGCCAGCAGCCGCGGUAAUACGGAGGAGGCAAGCGUUAUCCGGAAUCAUUGGGCGUAAAGCGUCCGCAGGUGGCGACUCAAGUCUGCUGUCAAAGCACGGGGCUUAACUCCGUAAAGGCAGUGGAAACUGAAUAGCUAGAGUGCCGUAGGGGUAGAGGGAAUUCCCGGUGUAGCGGUGAAAUGCGUAGAGAUCGGGAAGAACAUCGGUGGCGAAAGCGCUCUACUGGACGGCAACUGACACUCAGGGACGAAAGCUAGGGGAGCGAAUGGGAUUAGAUACCCC